CCCUUAGAUGUUCUGGGCCGCACGCGCGCUACACUGAUGCAUUCAACGAGUCUAAAACCUGCUCUGAUAGGGGUGGGUAAUCUUUUGAAUGUGCAUCGUGAUUGGGAUAGAUGAUUGCAAUUUUUCAUCUUCAACGAGGAAUGCCUAGUAAACGCAAGUCAUCAGCUUGCAUUGAUUACGUCCCUGCCCUUUGUACACACCGCCCGUCGCUCCUACCGAUUGAAUGAUCCGAUGAAUAUCAUGGAUUGAGGAUGCAAGUAAGUUCGCCUAUCUUCAUCUUCGAGAAGUGAAGUAAAUCUUAUCAUUUAGAGGAAGGAGAAGUCGUAACA
rnacentral:rRNA from 1 species